CACUAACUGAGAUCUUCAUAGAUCAACUUCCUGUGGAUGAACAUAGUCACUUUAAUAACAGCGAUAAUAUGGAUAGUUUUAAAUAUGCUAUAGAGUUUACUUGUCCAAUAAAUAUGGAACAUCCAUCUGGACUCACUCAGGUAAAGAUAGGGGCAUUGUUAGGGCCAGAAAAUACAUGGGACAUGAGCCCAAAAAUAAUUUUGGGAUGCCUUCUUAAGCCCUACACUGACCCCUCCAUAAUUGCACUACUUAACACGCCUCUUUUUAAAAUUUAAAAUUGGAACAAGGAAAUCGGUCCUUUUUUU